UACAGAGGGUGCAAGCGUUAAUCGGAAUUACUGGGCGUAAAGCGCACGUAGGCGGCUUAGCAAGUCGGAAGUGAAAUCCCUCGGCUCAACCAAGGAAGUGCUUUCGAAACUGCUGAGCUUGAGUACUUAAGAGGAUCGCGGAAUUCCCGGUGUAGAGGUGAAAUUCGUAGAUAUCGGGAGGAACACCAGUGGCGAAGGCGGCGAUCUGGGAAGAUACUGACGCUGAGGUGCGAAAGCGUGGGGAGCAAACAGG
rnacentral:rRNA from 1 species